UAAUACCACCAAAUUUGUCUCCCUCUGGUGCUUUGCACACCUCUACAUGGAACACGCUCCCCCAUCUCUCCAUUGGGACAACUCUUACUCUUCCCUGAUGUUCAUCUUAAAUGUCACUGCCUCAGAAAAGCUUCACCUGUUCUUUCAACCUAAAAUGCAGACAACCAAAGAGGUUUGAGAAAAUCUGCUGAUGCCCACCCAGCAUCCGGUUAAGCAGACAAGGUAUAGUAAACAAACCAACAGGAACAGGAAGAGAGUAGCUAUCUCAGAAUAUAGAUAUAAAUCAAUAUCUUCACAAAGUCACUCUUCCUUUCAAAAGCUUCAAAACAAGAACUUCUUCUCAUCUAUUUUAUUUAUCUCAUUUGUGCCCUACUUAAUAGAUAUUGAUUUGAUAGGCACGUGCCAUUUAAAUAGAAAAUACAAAAUGAAUAUUCUAAUUGUAAUUGAAGAAUGCCAACUUAAUCCAGAAGUUCCCUGUGUAUAAAAGACCUUCCAAAAAUUAUCUGUAUCCCUUCCUUCUCUCUCACUGUCUGGGCAGAACCUGAUUCUGGGGCAGAAGCCAUGCAGCCCAAGAGGACACAUGCCGCUGAAAUGGUUCUCUGGAAUCUACCACUGGCCAGAUGUCUCAGGGUCUUGGCAGAUGUAAUUAAGUGAAGGAUCUUGAAAUGAUAUCCUGCGUGGGCCCUAAAUCCAAUGACUAGUGUCCUUAUAUGAGGAAGGAGGGGGAGAGCAAAGACACAGAGAAGCUGACUGAAGAUUGAGGCAGAGCUUGGAGUUAUGCAGUUAUAAGCCAGAAACACCAAGGAUUGCCAGCAACUACCAAAAGCUAGGAGAGACACAAUGGAAUGGAACCAAUCCUGCUGACAUCUUGAUUUGGACUUCUGGCCUCCUGAACUGUCAGAGAAUAAAUUUCUGUUACUCUAAGUCACCCAGUGUGUGAUACUUCAUUCCAGCAGCCCUAGAAAAAUGAUACACAGGGUAUACUCUCCGGGGCUGAACUAGCCUUUCUGAAGCACAGAACAACAUGGGAGAGGGCAGAGGAAUGAAUAAAAGCUGGUAAAAUAGGAGGUGGGCAACGAAGAAUGGCUGCUAUAGACACUUUCCUGUUUUUCAAACCUUAACCAUUAAUAAAAUCUCCUUUUCUAAAUAAACAAUUUAUUUUAGAUUAGUUUUAGAUUUAGAGAAAAACUGUAAAAUAGUGCUGAGAGUUGCUCAGUAAAAUAGUGCUGAGAAUUUCUCCUAUUAUUAAAAUCUUACAUUAGCAUGAAACAUUUGUUACAUUUAAUGAGCCAAUAUCCAUACGUUAUUCUUAAUGUCUAUACUUUGUUCAAAUUUCCUUAGUUUUUACUUAACAUCUUUUGUCUGUUCUAGUAUGCAUAACAUGCAUAAAACCAAUUGAAAAUUCACC